UACGAAGGGGGGCUAGCGUUGCUCGGAAUCACUGGGCGUAAAGCGCACGUAGGCGGCUUUCUAAGUCAGGGGUGAAAUCCUGGAGCUCAACUCCAGAACUGCCUUUGAUACUGGGAAGCUCGAGUCCGGAAGAGGUGAGUGGAACUCCGAGUGUAGAGGUGAAAUUCGUAGAUAUUCGCAAGAACACCAGUGGCGAAGGCGGCUCACUGGCCCGGUACUGACGCUGAGGUGCGAAAGCGUGGGGAGCAAACAGGAGUUA
rnacentral:rRNA from 1 species